AACCAACCAAGGAUAUAAAUAAUAAUAAAAAAGUGAGCUGGUUAACAGAUGGUCCCAGAGCUAAGGGAGGCUCUCUGAAAUGAGCUCAACCACACUAAGCUGUUAGAGGCUCCCAGCAAACAGGCCAAAAUAGCCCUUGCUAAAUGCUGGAGUCAUUAUCAAACACACAAAUCUGCCUGAAAAUGAGACAACGUUUCUACUGAAAGCAAGACUGUUAAAAGUACAACCUCCUUAUUCCGCAUACUUAUGCCCAGUUCAGGUAUGAAGGCAAGACGUGCGUGGCUUUAUCCUUCCAGACUUACCAGGAGAGAACACUGGGGCAGGAACAGGACUCAGCUAUGCUUGAUGGUGCAGGAGUCUCCACUUCCAGAUGCUGAAUGAAGAUUCCCUUCCACUGCAGACGUAGAAGAGACAACACAACAUGAAAAGUCUCAAAUUCUUCUCUUGUUGCCUCUUUUUCCAUUUUCCUAAUGACACAGGGUUAAUGUGAACAUCACUGCACAUCACUGCUCUGCUUCCCUCCCUCAAACAUACCAGAGGCAGGAUUUGAAUUUGCAGUUGAAAAUCGGAGAAACAGACAGCAAAAAAAACUAACUGUAAAGACAAGUGCAAAGCACUACG